rnacentral:misc_RNA from 1 species
AACGCACAUUGCGCCCUUUGGUAUUCCGAAGGGCAUGCCUGUCUGAGCGACAAUAAGUCAAUCAAACCUUGGUUUGGUAUUGGGAGAAGUAGCAUUGGUCUACUCUCCUUUAAGUUAUUGGCGACGCUAUUUCAGCUUGUAAGACGUAGUAAGUAAUUUCUCGUUAAAGCAACUGUUUAGAUGUCUGCCAACUGAAUGAUUUAUAUUAUCGCUUGUCCUCAGAUCAGGUAGGGAUACCCCCUGAACUUAA